UACGAAGGGUGCAAGCGUUAAUCGGAAUUACUGGGCGUAAAGGGUGCGUAGGCGGUUGUUUAAGUCUGUCGUGAAAUCCCCGGGCUCAACCUGGGAAUGGCGAUGGAUACUGGGCAGCUAGAGUGUGUCAGAGGAUGGUGGAAUUCCCGGUGUAGUGGUGAAAUGCGUAGAGAUCGGGAGGAACACCUGUGGCGAAGGCGGCCGACUGUGCCGACCCUGACGCUGAGGCGCGAAGGCGUGGGGAGCGAACGGG
rnacentral:rRNA from 1 species